ACAGUUAAUGCUUCUCUCUUUCCUACUUUCACUGAGCCAUGCGACCAGGCAGUCUGCCAGACAAAAGAAACCCGUCGCCAUUCAGGGGUUGACUUGAUCUCCCUGUGUGUGCUGAGUUGGAGUCUGAGAUAGUGAGGGACUUGUGGCCUCAAGAAGUAACAUAGUGGCACUAUUCUUCAUUGGGUGGGUGAGGCCAAGAUAACAGGGUGAAAUAGCUUUGGUGUAACAGUCGUGAGUGUCAAGUUCUGAUUUUUUGGGUAUACAGGACCAGUCCUGUGUUUGUCUCAUAAAUGAAGACUAAACAUUGCUUCUUGCCAGAAGGUCCAUGAGGAUGCUGGGGAGCGGGGGGGUUGACACCAUUUCCUGUCUUCUGUGUUCUCCAGCCCUGACGGCAGUUAUGUGGCAGCAGGCUCCGCGGAGGGCUCUCUCUACGUCUGGAGUGUGCUCUCUGGGAAAGUGGAGAAGGUCCUUUCAAAGCAUCAUGGCUCGUCCAUCAAUGCGGUGGCAUGGUCCCCCUCCGGCUCCCACAUCGUCAGUGUGGACAAGGGAAGCAAAGCUGUGCUGUGGUCAGAAUACUGACGGAGUCUCCUCAGGAGAGAGCAGAUCCGAAGCCGGAGAAGCACUCGGGCCGCAGCUCUGUCCUGGCAGGUGGCAUGUGGGGUGUAGCUUUGACCUCCAGAGAAGAGCCAGCCAGGCGACUUUCCUUGAGCAGGACUUC